GAAUCUGCUUAUGGACUCAUUUCUAAUUUGUGACUAGUUGAUCUUCUAGUCCUCUUCACCUUGCUCUCAUUACUUGAAACACAUACCUGAACAAAGAGUUUGAGUGAAAUGAAGAGACACAAAUGUAGCCAGUUUAGAGUGAAGAUAGCAGAAUGAAUCCUAGUACUGAAUGAAUCAUUACCACCAUUUAUAAUGCAGACUAUAGCAGGAAUUUGAUAAUAGAUAGGUACUUGGAAAUUUUCCUCAUGAUUAGAUGAAAAAAUUUGUCAGUAUGCGCAUUGGUAGUUAGUCUUUCAAAUAUAAUUUAAAUGAACAUUCUUUGUAGAAUUCUCAAGGUAGCAACAGAAAGUUUCAAACUCUGGGAAGAUUGAAGAAAAAAGAAAAGCCAGAAGAGAAAAGAAGAUCCAUCUGCCCAUAUCUGUUGCUCAAAAUCAACUGGGUAUUUCUUUGUGAAACAGGGCAUCUAAAUGUACCAGCAAGUUGUAACCAAACAGUCUUGGCUGCUUCAGUGCAUGCAUGUGACAAAAAUUUAAGGCCCUUGACUCUUCAUGUUGACCUGCUAAGGAUACUAUCUGACUAAGUAGAAACUGAACACAGUAAUGGUCAAAUUGGAAAAAAAAUCAUCUCCUUAUUUCCCUGAAGCCAUCUGUCUCAAAGUUCAUUAGUCCAACCAAGACUCAAGGAAAAAGUGACUUACUCAUUGGUAUACAGUUUUUAAGUGCCGUAAGAAAUAUUUAAAUAAAAUUCUGUCGUAUUUGUUUUAUUUCUAUUUC
rnacentral:lncRNA from 1 species